AAAAUACUCAUCACAUUGUGUAGUCCUGGCUGGCUGGAACCAUGUGGACCAGGCUAGCUAGUGCUGGGAUUAAAGGUGUGGCCCACCCAUCCCGACCGAAUCUGAUGAUACCGACAUGAAGGAUGAGUCUGUCUUGGGGUUACUACCGCUGUGAUGGAAUAUGACCAAAUGCAGUUUGGAGAGGAAAGGGCUUAUUUCACUCAGUUCCAUAUAAGAGUUCAUUCAUCACCCAAAACAGUGAGGGCAGGAACUCAAGCAGGACGGGAACCUGGAGGUGGAAGCUGGUGAGGCCACAGAGGGCGCUGCUUACUGUGCUUGCUCAACCUGAUUUCUUCUAGAAGGCAGUGCCACUCCCUCAAGGGUGGCACCGCCCACAAUGGGCAGGGCCUUCCCAGGCUUGCCUACAGCCUAAUAGAGGCAUUUUCUCAGUUGAGCCUCCUUUUUCUGAUGACUCUAGCUUGUCUCAAGCAGACAUAAAACUAGCCGGCACAGUGUCUAUACUACCAAACACAAAUGUUGAUUGUGCAAGCAUUUAUUGCUCUCUGUGGCUACUGUCAUCAGCUGAGAUCUUGGCAAACCUCCCACAUUACAAAGAAUCUUUAAGACCCUCUUUAUAAGAAUAAAAUGUCCAUCCUUGCUUUCUGUGUUAUGUAGGUAUACCAUUCAGGGAGGCAUCCUCUAACCAGUGACACUUUGUUCCUGCCCCAAGGCCUUUGCACCUGCAGCUCUCCCCACCUGUUACCUCCCUUUAGCUCAAGUGUCACCAUGUCAUCAUUACUUGUUACAUGUUCUUCGUGGUCCUUUUCCUGACCUGUGGCUUUCUUGGUACCACCAUAAUGCAUCUUCCAGCAUCUAUUGACCCCCUACCCUUGCCUUCCAGUCUCCCCUAAAACAGGGGCUCAGAACCAUGGUAUCCAUUUUAAUUUGAUUUAGGGGUUAGUAGCCAGAAAACUGAUAUGCUUGCUGCAUCUUUCCUGUUGCCUCACAACAGGGGACCUGUGUUGUUGUCUCCAGGGAUGCUCCUAGCCCUCACUCUCCAGAAGACCUAUGUUUGGUUCCCAGCACUCAGCAUCAAGCAGCCACGCUACCUG
rnacentral:lncRNA from 1 species